rnacentral:lncRNA from 1 species
ACGCAUUUGCCUGGCCUUUGACCUCGUUAUUGGGCCUUGUGGUAAUUUGAGCCCAUCACGUUCUUGAGCUUGAGUUGGGCCUUUAUGACUCGUAUCACCAUGGGUCUCCAUCGAGACAUUUUGUUCAUCUACUUCUUUCGUCAUUUUAACCGGUGGCUUUUUACAUUAGCUCAGUUACCAAUUGUCACAGGGCUAGAACUUAAGUUUGGCAAAUCACGCGACCUUAGGCAAUGUCUUUGUUUCAAAUUUGCCUAAGUCAGCCUUACUCUCAAAAAUAAGAAAUUCAAAAAGAAAAAGGCACUAAAAUAAAGCAAAAGCAAACUCACAAAUGAAGAAGCAAAAAGUGAACAAAAAAGCCAUAAGAAAACUAAGAAAACCAAGUGUUUGAGUAAAUACUCUCAAAAUAUAUUCAAUAACUUUUUUUUGAUCAAGUAUAUUCAAUAACUUUGAAUGGAAUACAAUGGGAUGAUUACAAAUGAGGGGGAAACCCUCUAUUUAUAGUUGAGCUCCCCCAUAUCCAAUGGUGCAGAUUGAAUUACAUCAAUGAUUGAGAUUAGUGUCUGUCUACAAGAUGAAAGUCCUAAGAGAUUUAAACUCUAUACAUCUUUAUCCCUUAGGAUUUACAAUAAUUGCCUUGGUAACUCUAGUUUUACUAGAGUGUUUCACUGGCCAGUUCAAGUGGAUCAAAUGAGCCCCAUUUAAUCAAUUGACCUCCAUGAGAAGCUCUGUGUGCAUUCGUCACGGGCUUUGAUCCGCGGCCCGUGACAUAAGAAUAAACUCAUAAUUAAUUAAAUAAUGAUUUCUAAUCUCGUGGUGAUUAAUAUUAAGUUUCAAUCAUAUUUAUUGUUGACACAUUUAUAAAAUUUUAUAAAAAAAUUUUAAUUAGUGUAUAAUUUUUUAUAAGAAAAAAAGAGAAGGGUUCAAAUUAACAAAAGUUGUAAAGGUUGAUUGGCUAAAUUAGUGAUUGUACCUAAUUUUUUAACAAAGUUAAUGAAAAAAAUUAAUGAAGGGACUGGAAAUGAGCAAAUAAAAAAAAUAGAGAGACUAAUUUUGAGCAAAUAAAAGUAGAGGGAUUAAAUCCGCACAAAUUGAUAAGUACAUAGACUAUCAUCAAAAUUUAACCUAUAGUCUAAUAUGGGUUCAAAAUUUAAUUAAGUGAUAAUAAUUGUAACACUAAUAAUAAAAAGUUAUUAAUAAAUUUAAUUUAUAUUUUAUAUAAAAAAUUUAAAAAUAAUUAUAAUUAUUUUAUUUUAUAUUAAUAUUUUUAUCAUAUUUAUUUAAAAGAAACAUGAGAGUAAAAAGGUACCUACACGAUCAAAUUAAUUGUUGUUAUUUCUUGUAAUAAUUAAUGGUAUGCGUAAUACCUAUAUAUAAUUUAUCUAAGACGAUUUUAUUAUUUUUAAUUUAUUUAAUUAUAUUCAAUGAAUUAAUAAUUAAUUAAUAUUACCUUUGUUAUUAUUCCAAUAAUAUAUUAAUAAAUUAUUAUUAUAUCAAUUUAAUAAUAUAAUAAAUGAUAAAAAAUAUUAUCAUUAAUUCAAACUUUCUUCUCAACUCAUCUUUUUACGUAAGUUAUAAGGUUAAUAUUAAUUGGUAAUUAGGAUUUUGGGUUUAAAGUAAUAUUUUUUAAUCAAAAUCAAAUCAAAUCAAAUCAUUGCAAAACCUAAGGGAGAAAGAAUCACAUAAAAUUCAUACAUAAUAUACACAUAAUUACAAUAAAAGCUAAACAAGAAACGAAUACGAUACUCUUACCCAAUAAUGCAAAACCUUCAUUGGCUUCUGGUUCCCUAGAAUUUGUUUAGUGUUUAUGAAUGUAUGAUGUUAUUCAAGAAAUCAUUAAAAAAAAGGAGUGAAGUGACAGUUAUAAUCUGUGCUUAGAGAUCAAAAUGUAUUGGUCCCUUUGCCUUGUUGGGUGGUGGGACCAGGCUUCAAGUAUCAACACUUUCAACUAAUUGAUACGAGCUCAAUUGUUGUUGCUUCGAGUCGUAUUAGUUUGUCCGAUCAUGAAUUUGGGGUAAAACUUGGUUCGUUUCAAGAGGGAUGGAAAAAAUAGAAGGUAGGCUUCAAAUAAGGUUUAAAAGGAAGCUGGUUAAACAAAGGAAUGGAUAAUUUGGCCAAACCCAGAGAAUGAACCAAAAAUAGAGUGAUUGUUGGCCUGAGUCUCAAAGUAGCUCUUUGGUGAAUUUCGAUUUAGGAAAUCAACAAAAAACCUUGACUCGUUAUCAAAUGUGAUUGGAACUAAAGGUAUAUGAACGCCACACUAGAAGUGAUAAGUUCGGAUUAACAAAGGAAAGAAUGACGCCACAAGACAACUUGAUAAGUCAAUUCAGUCCCGAAAAGAACAAGGAGAAUUGGAAAUCUCACAAGUUUCAAUUGAUUCAUACAAUUGGUAAAAAGUCCCUACAACAAGAAAUUAGCUAAGUAUUUAUAGCUAGAAAUCUAUGCUAGCCGAAUAGACACAUGGGCAACUAAAUGGACAAAUGUUUUCAGCUUUAAUGAGCUGAAACUUCUUUGAAAGUUCCUAGCAGCUUCCUUGAAGUUUCCUUGAGCAUGGAGGACGUCAAUAGUUAGCUUCUAGAUGCCUUGAUUCAGCUGAAAAUUAAUGAAGUGAUUGGGAGCUGAAUUGACUUAAUUAGGUUCGGCCCAAGGGUAUGAACCAUCUUUAAUAGGCUGCCUUGAAGAGCUG